CACAAAUCAGGCAAUAGAUAUGUUUCAAUCAACAAAUGAAAUACAGAAAACCUUUAACUUCACCAAGACAAUGUUUUGUGUUGGUUUGCAGCAUCUCCACAUCUUUAAACUGACAAUAUGUAAGCAGAGAAAACACCCGCUUGGGUAAUUGAUCCAGUAUUGUCAGUUUGGACGAUUAUUGACUUUGGUACAGUUUGAUUAACCAUGUCCACACAAGAGACAGAAUUACCCGACAGUCAGGAGAGGGGGGGUUUGAAGAGAAAACUGACGGGUCCACCGAGACUUUUGCUGGGGAAGUCAAAAUCAAGGGAGAAACUGGAAGGUAAAUCUCAGAGAAGGCAAAGACAAGGUACAAGUUGUGAUAGCACAGCGGAGAAUAAUGAUCAAGAAAAUUAUGGAAAUGAAUCCUCACUUAUUACCCACCACAGCCCAGAAAACCCCUCAGAGGAGAAGGAAACCCAGCCAGAUGCUCCAGGAGAUACCUCAGGAAUUCUUGUAACAUUGGAGCAUAGUGAAAGCAAAGAUGAAAAUAUGGAAAGUAAAACAAAAAUGACCAGAAGCACUUCAAAAACAUCCAUUAAAAGGAUGUUUUCCUCACUCUUCAGGUGUGGAAAAAGGGAGGAAUCGGAGAGAACAGAAAACGAGACUUUGAAUCCUCAAAAAACAAAGAAAAACAGAAACAAAGCUCAACACAGUAUGUGUAACUCCAUGGAUGAGAAUAAACUGAGGGAUGUAAUCAAGGAAGUUCCUAAUGGGACAAGUAAAACUAGGCCUUUCUUUACAGUAUGGCCCCUUUGUAAGAGAUCUACCACAUCCAAUGUCAAUCUAGGAAGGGGAUGUCGAGAGCAAGACAAUAGCAUGGUUUUUCAGGAGAUAACGGCAACAAAAGGUUUGACAUUUAAAAAGAUCUACCGCAUCUUUCCAAAAAAGAAGAAAGCAUAUCAUAAUGAUCAGUUUGAGUAUAAUGCUCCCAAGCAAUCACAAAAAGAAGAAACUGAUCAACUGAAUCAAUCACCUGAGGCUGCUUUGGACAGUUCCAGUAUAGAAAAAGAAGAGAACCAAAAGGAAGAACAAGACAUAAAAGCGGAAAGCAUUCCAGAGACAUUUACAUUCAGUGCAGAGGUGAGCGUUAACACACAUAUUGAGUCUGACCACAUGGAUGAGAAUAAGGAAAUAUGCAUUGACCAAGAUGUUAAUAUAAAUAAAAAAGAAAACCAGGUAUUAAAAACAAAUGGUGUUUUGGAUUCUGAAUGUUGCAGUGAGUUUCCAGGCACAUCAUCAGGUGGUGAUCUGCUAGUCUUAAUUGAGAAGCCUAUUAAAAAUUAUGUCAAAUGCAAGCCAGUGAUUACUAUAGAGCAAGCAUAUUCAUCAGAGGAAGAGAACAUAAAUGAGACGCCUCAGUUUGAUGGUCUCACAGUGAAUGGAUCCUGGCAACAUUUAAGAAUAAACAGGCUAACAAGCAACACACUGCAUCCUUCUGACCUAAAUAUGUCUCCUGAACUGGACCACAGCCAUUGUAAUGAGACCUUACUGAUUCAGACGGCAAUUUCAAUGGUGCAAGCAGCCAUUCGUGGCGCUGUGGAGCAACUCACAAUCGAACAGCAGCACAAUCAGAUAAGUUUGGAUCAUGCGUAACCAC
ensembl:lncRNA uncharacterized LOC107562684